rnacentral:rRNA from 1 species
GGGUUGUGAGGUUAAGUGACUAAGCGUACACGGUGGAUGCCUAGGCAGUCAGAGGCGAUGAAGGGCGUGCUAAUCUGCGAAAAGCGUCGGUAAGGUGAUAUGAACCGUUACAACCGGCGAUACCCGAAUGGGGAAACCCAGUGUGUUUCGACACACUAUCAUGUCAUGAAUACAUAGUGGCAUGAGGCGAACCGGGGGAACUGAAACAUCUAAGUACCCCGAGGAAAAGA